rnacentral:rRNA from 1 species
UUAGUGGCGGACGGGUGAGUAACGCGUGGAAAACCUGCCGUAUACUGGGGGAUAACACUUAGAAAUAGGUGCUAAUACCGCAUAAGCGCACAGCUUCGCAUGAGGCGGUGUGAAAAACUCUGGUGGUAUACGAUGGUUCCGCGUCUGAUUAGCUAGUUGGUGGGGUAAUGGCCUACCAAGGCAACGAUCAGUAGCCGGCCUGAGAGGGUGAACGGCCACAUUGGGACUGAGACACGGCCCAAACUCCUACGGAAGGCAGCAG